GAUGAACGCUGGCGGCGUGCCUAAUACAUGCAAGUCGAGCGAAUGGAUUAAGAGCUUGCUCUUAUGAAGUUAGCGGCGGACGGGUGAGUAACACGUGGGUAACCUGCCCAUAAGACUGGGAUAACUCCGGGAAACCGGGGCUAAUACCGGAUAACAUUUUGAACCGCAUGGCUCGAAAUUGAAAGGCGGCUUCGGCUGUCACUUAUGGAUGGACCCGCGUCGCAUUAGCUAGUUGGUGAGGUAACGGCUCACCAAGGCAACGAUGCGUAGCCGACCUGAGAGGGUGAUCGGCCACACUGGGACUGAGACACGGCCCAGACUCCUACGGGAGGCAGCAGUAGGGAAUCUUCCGCAAUGGACGAAAGUCUGACGGAGCAACGCCGCGUGAGUGAUGAAGGCUUUCGGGUCGUAAAACUCUGUUGUUAGGGAAGAACAAGUGCUAGUUGACUAAGCUGGCACCUUGACGGUACCUAACCAGAAAGCCACGGCUAACUACGUGCCAGCCGCCGCCGUAA
rnacentral:rRNA from 1 species